rnacentral:rRNA from 1 species
UGAGGAAUAUUGGUCAAUGGGCGAGAGCCUGAACCAGCCAAGUAGCGUGCAGGAUGACGGCCCUAUGGGUUGUAAACUGCUUUUAUAUGGGAAUAAAGUGAGGGAUGUGUCCCUUAUUGUAUGUACCAUAUGAAUAAGGACCGGCUAAUUCCGUGCCAGCAGCAGCGGUGAUACGGAAGGUCCAGGCGUUAUUCGGAUUUAUUGGGUUUAAAGGGAGCGUAGGCCGUUUGGUAUGCGUGUUGUGAAAUGGAGGAGCUCAAAUACUAGAUUGCCGCGCGAACUGUCAGACUUGAGUGCGCACAACGGAGGCGGGACUAAUGGUGUAGCGGGGAGAUGCGUAGAUAGCAUGAAGAAAACCGAUUGCGAAAGCAGCUUACGAGGGCGCAACAGACGCUGAAACUCGAAAGAGCGGGUAUCGAACAGG